ACAUGUCUGGAAACCUAGGUUGUUGUUUUUUUCUUUUUCAAAUAAGCCAUCAUCAUAGUGUCCCAUGCCAGAGCAAACUGUGGCCCCGAACCAUUGCCUGGCCUGUGCCCGUAGGCUCCUGGCAAUGAAGCAGGUUGCACAGUG
rnacentral:snoRNA from 1 species